rnacentral:rRNA from 1 species
UGUCGAGCGCCCCGCAAGGGGAGCGGCCGACGGGUGAGUAACGCGUGGGAAUCUACCUUCCCUACGGAAUAGCUCCGGGAAACUGGAAUUACUACCGUAUACGCCCUUCGGGGGAAAGAUUUACCGGGGAUGGAUGACCCCGCGUUGGAUUACCUAGUUGGUGGGGUAAAGGCCUACCUGGCGACGAUCCAUAGCUGGUCUGAGAGGAUGAUCAUCUGCAUUGGGACUGACACACGGCCCACACUCCUACGGUAGGCACCCGUGGGGAAUAUUGCACAAUGGGCGCAAGCCUGAUCCAGCCAUGCCGCGUGAGUGAUGAAGGCCCUAGGGUUGUAAAGCUCUUUCACCGGUGAAGAUAAAGACGGUAGCCGGAGAAGAAGCCCCGGCUAACUUCGUGCCAGCAGCCGCGGUAAUACAAAGGGGGGUAGCGUUGUUCGGAAUUACUGUUUGUAAAGUCACCGUACGCUGAUCGUUAAAUGAGGGGAGAUAUCCCACGGGUCACUCCUGGAACUGCCUUUCUUUCUGGCAAUCUUGAUUUCGAUUGACCUGACCGGAAUUCCCAAUGUAUAAGUGAGUUCGUAUAUAUUCUGAGGACCAACACUGGUGAAAGCGGCUAACUGGCUCUAUACUGCCUCUGAGGUGCCAAUA